UACAGAGGUCUCGAGCGUUAGGCGGAAUCACUGGGCUUAAAGCGUGUGUAGGUGGAUCGUUAAGUACCUUGUGAAAUCCCACGGCUUAACCGUGGAACUGCUGGGUAUACUGGUCGUCUUGAGCCACCUAGGGGCCAGCGGAACAAAUGGUGGAGCGGUGAAAUGCGUAGAUAUCAUUUGGAACGCCAACGGUGAAAACAGCUGGCUGGGGGUGUGCUGACGCUGAGACACGAAAGCCAGGGGAGCGAACGGG
rnacentral:rRNA from 1 species